rnacentral:rRNA from 1 species
CCGCGGUAUUUUGACCGUGCUAAGGUAGCAUAAUCAUUAGUUUUUUAAUUGGAAGCUGGAAUGAAGGGUUUGAUGAAAAAUUGGCUGUCUCUAUUUUAGUUUAUUUGAAUUUUAUUUUUAAGUUAAAAAGCUUAAAUAUUUUUAUAAGACGAGAAGACCCUAUAGAGUUUAAUAACUUUUUAAAUUUUUAAAAUUUAGUAUUUAAUUUUAAAGUUUAAAGAUUUUUUUAAUUGGGGUGAUUUAAAAAUUUAAUAAACUUUUUUUUUAUUUUUAUAUUUUUAAAUAAAUUGUUGAUCUGAUAUUAUUGAUUAUAAGAUAAAGUUACCUUAGGGAUAACAGCGUAAUUUUAUUGGAGAGUU